AUUGAACGCUGGCGGCAGGCCUAACACAUGCAAGUCGAACGAGUGGCGGACGGGUGAGUAAUGUCUGGGAAUCUGCCUUAUGGAGGGGGAUCACUACGGGAAACUGUAGCUAAUACCGCGUACCAUCAGAUGAGCCCAAGUGGGAUUAGGUAGUUGGUGAGGUAAAGGCUCACCAAGCCGACGAUCCCUAGCUGGUCUGAGAGUAUGAACCGCCACACUGGGACGGAGACACGGCCCAGACGCCUACGGGAGGCAGCAGUGGGGAAUAUUGCACAAUGGGUGCAAGCCUGACGCAGCCAUGCCGCGUGUAUGAAGAAGGCCUUCGGGUUGUAAAGUACUUUCAGUCGGGAGGCGUUACCGACAGAAGAAGCACCGGCUAACUCCGUGCCAGCAGCCGCGGUAAUAC
rnacentral:rRNA from 1 species